AUUGAACGCUGGCGGCAGGCUUAACACAUGCAAGUCGAGCGAGCGGCGGACGGGUGAGUAAUGUCUGGGAAACUGCCUGAUGGAGGGGGAUAACUACUGGAAACGGUAGCUAAUCCCGCAUACCAUCAGAUUUGCCCCGAUGGGAUUAGCUCGUAGGUGGGGUAAUGGCUCACCUAGUCGACGAUCCCUAGCUGGUCUGAGAGGAUGACCAGCCAACAUGGGACUGAGACACGGCCCAGAAUCAUACGGGAGGCAGCAGUGGGGAAUAUUGCGCAAGGGGGGCAACCCGGACGAAGCCAGGCCGCGUGAAUGAAGAAGGCCUUCGGGUUGUAAAGUUCUUUCGGUAGCGAGGCGUUAACUACAGAAGAAGCACCGGCUAACUCCGUGCCAGCCGCCGCGGUAAUAC
rnacentral:rRNA from 1 species